GACGAACGCUGGCGGCGUGCUUAACACAUGCAAGUCGAACGGAAAGGCCCUGCUUUUGUGGGGUGCUCGAGUGGCGAACGGGUGAGUAACACGUGAGUAACCUGCCCUUGACUUUGGGAUAACUUCAGGAAACUGGGGCUAAUACCGGAUAGGAGCUCCUGCUGCAUGGUGGGGGUUGGAAAGUUUCGGCGGUUGGGGAUGGACUCGCGGCUUAUCAGCUUGUUGGGGGGGUAGUGGCUUACCAAGGCUUUGACGGGUAGCCGGCCUGAGAGGGUGACCGGCCACAUGGGGACUGAGAGACGGCCCAGACUCCUACGGGAGGCAGCAGUGGGGAAUAUUGCACAAUGGGCGGAAGCCUGAUGCAGCAGCGCCGCGUGCGGGAUGACGGCCUUCGGGUUGUAAACCGCUUUCGCCUGUGACGAAGCGUGAGUGACGGUAAUGGGUAAAGAAGCACCGGCUAACUACGUG
rnacentral:rRNA from 1 species